rnacentral:rRNA from 1 species
UACGAGGGGGGCGAGCGUUGUUCGGAAUUACUGGGCGUAAAGCGCACGUAGGUGGUUUGCUAAGCCAGCUGUGUAAUCCCCGGGCUCAACCUGGGCACUGCAGUUGGAACUGGCAAGCUAGAGUAGGGUAGAGGGGUGUGGAAUUCCAGGUGUAGCGGUGAAAUGCGUAGAUAUCAGGAGGAACACCGGUGGUG